rnacentral:tRNA from 1 species
GGAAAUGUAGUUCAGAGGUAGAGCACUUGCCUAGAAUUCAAGGAGGCCCUGGGUUCAAUCCCCAGAACCA